rnacentral:rRNA from 1 species
AGGGGAAUAUUGCACAAUGGGCGCAAGCCUGAUGCAGCCAUGCCGCGUGUAUGAAGAAGGUCUUCGGGUUGUAAAGUACUUUCAGUCGGGAGGAAGGUGGUAAGGUUAAUAACCUUGGCAAUUUACGUUACCGACAGAAGAAGCACCGGCUAACUCCGUGCCAGCAGCCGCGGUAAUACGGAGGGUGCAAGCGUUAAUCGGAAUUACUGGGCGUAAAGCGCACGCAGGCGGUUUGUUAAGUCAGAUGUGAAAUCCCCGGGCUCAACCUGGGAACUGCAUCUGAUACUGGCAAGCUUGAGUCUCGUAGAGGGGGGUAGAAUUCCAGGUGUAGCGGUGAAAUGCGUAGAGAUCUGGAGGAAUACCGGUGGCGAAGGCGGCCCCCUGGACGAAGACUGACGCUCAGGUGCGAAAGCGUGGGGAGCAAACAGG